rnacentral:rRNA from 1 species
GCCCUUAGAGUUUGAUCCUGGCUCAGGACGAACGCUGGCGGCGUGCCUAACACAUGCAAGUUGUACGAGAAGUUCGCCUUCGAUUCCUUCGGGAUGAAAAGGUGAGCGGAGAGUAGCGAACGGGUGAGUAACGCGUGGGUAAUCUACCCUGUAAGUGGGGAAUAACCCUUCGAAAGGAGGGCUAAUACCGCAUAAUAUCUCCUCUUCAUAAGAUAAGGAGAUUAAAGAUGGCCUCUUCUAUGCUAUCGCUUCAGGAUGAGCCCGCGUCCCAUUAGUUUGUUGGUAAGGUAACGGCUUACCAAGACUAUAAUGGGUAGCCGGUCUGAGAGGAUGUACGGCCACACUGGGACUGAGAUACGGCCCAGACUCCUACGGGAGGCAGCAGUGGGGAAUAUUGCGCAAUGGGGGAAACCCUGACGCAGCGACGCCGCGUGGAUGAUGAAGGCCUUCGGGUUGUAAAAUCCUGUUUUGGGGGACGAAACCUUAAGGGUUUAAUAAACCCUUAAAUUGACGGUACCCCAAGAGAAAGCUCCGGCUAAUUAUGUGCCAGCAGCCGCGGUAAUACAUAAGGAGCAAGCGUUGUCCGGAAUUAUUGGGCGUAAAGGGCUCGUAGGCGGUCUUAAAAGUCAGAUGUUAAAUUACCAGGCUCAACCUGGUACUCCCAUCUGAAACUUUAAGACUUGAGGUUAGAAGAGGAAAGUA